UACGAAGGGGGCUAGCGUUGCUCGGAAUCACUGGGCGUAAAGCGCACGUAGGCGGCUUUUAAGUCAGGGGUGAAAUCCUGGAGCUCAACUCCAGAACUGCCUUUGAUACUGAGAAGCUUGAGUCCGGGAGAGGUGAGUGGAACUGCGAGUGUAGAGGUGAAAUUCGUAGAUAUUCGGAAGAACACCAGUGGCGAAGGCGACUUACUGGACACAUAUUGACGCUGAGGUGCGAAAGCGUGGGGAGCAAACAGG
rnacentral:rRNA from 1 species